GCCAGGCGUGGUGGCUCACGCCUGUAAUCCCAGCACUUUGGGAGGCCGAGGCGGGUGGGUCACUUGAGGUCAGGAGUUCGAGACUAGCCUGACCAACACAGUGAAACCCUGUCUCUA
rfam:Pan troglodytes isolate Yerkes chimp pedigree #C0471 (Clint) chromosome 5, whole genome shotgun sequence.